rnacentral:tRNA from 1 species
UGGGCUCGUAGCGCAACGGUAGCGCGCCUCGUUUGCAACGAGGAGGUUGCGGGUUCAAAUCCCGCCGAGUCCAU